rnacentral:rRNA from 1 species
AUACGUAGGGAGCGAGCGUUGUCCGGAAUUACUGGGCGUAAAGGGCGCGUAGGCGGCGCUUCAAGUCGUCUGUCAAAUGGGAGGGCUUAACCCUUUUUCGCAGACGAAACUGGAGAGCUUGAGAAGCAGAGAGGCAAACAGAAUUCCUGGUGUAGCGGUGAAAUGCGUAGAUAUCAGGAAGAAUACCAGGGGCGAAGGCGGUUUGCUGGCUGCAUACUGACGCUGAAGCGCGAAAGCCAGGGGAGCAAACGGGAUUAGAUACCCUGGUAGUCCACGCCGUAAACGAUGAAUGCUAGGUGUUGGGGAAACUCAGUGCCGCAGUUAACACAAUAAGCAUUCCGCCUGGGGAGUACGACCGCAAGGUUGAAACUCAAAUGAAUUGGCGGGG